UGAGGAAGCAACAUUAAAAUGGCAACCCUCACUCAGAGACAUCAGAACAACUCACAGCUGGGCUGAUAUUGGAACUGUGCUAGGAGGCAGACAAGCCCCAGAAACAGGGAGCAGCACAAACAUUCCAGACAUGUCUGAAGCGCUGCUAGACUCCAUUGUCCUCAUACAAACUUUCAAUACAUCCCUACCCGUUCCUCAGCUGCAUGGGAGGUUGAACACCUACAAGUCACCCGGAAUGUUCUAAGCAUGUGCCAUGAGCAACUUGGCAGGUUUGGGAGGAAAAGAAAACUUGCUAGGAAAAGAGAAAACACUUGGAAAGACAGUGAAGCAGAACUGAAAUUCUGGAAGGACCUUAGAAAAGAUUUUGACUUUGGAAGUUGUUUUCUAAAGUUGGGAGUAAUAAAACCAGACUUUGCACAGAACAUUCCUAAACAAAUUGUACGAAAUGCAGAAUCUCAUUUUCAGCAUGUUUUUGUGACAGAACCCAUCCCUCCCCCCAACACACACAAUAAAACAGGGUACAUAAACAUGUUAAUUAGCUCCUUCUUUAAAUAAAGAUUCAUCAGCCUUGUGUUAACAUCUUUAAAGCCGUUUCUGUGUGUCAAAGAGGACUUUCGUCCGUUAUUGCUCGUAAAUUAUGUGAGGAGGCAAUAUCCAAGAUGCAACUGGCGUGGGAAAGGUAAAUGAGGGAAAAAGUACCAGAGAUCACUGUUUUUUUCAGUUGGAAGAUUGACCAGAAAGUGUAAACACUGAAGUUUUUCUCCAAUCUAGAACCUAGGCCAGGAGCAAAGGAGCUCUUAAACCAGACAAGCAAAUGGAUAAAUGGUUCAAAAGUAAGACUUUUGUGAUGGCUACCUACUAAGGGAUUUCUGGUAGGUGUCCAUGCAACAUUAUACCCACCUGCCUUUGCACAGUCAGCUUCGAAACUAUUUGUUUCCUUCUCAAACAUAGGUUGGUAUUACAGUGCAAGAUGGCUCCUAUAGCAUCCAUCAUAACAAGAGAGUCCUGUUUAAAUUUAUUUAAAGUUUGUUAUCUGCAUCGGAAAUGAAUUUAUCCAUUAAUACAUUUAGGUCUUAUACAUUGUUGGAAAUUC
rnacentral:lncRNA from 1 species